AUGCCGUGGUGGGGGCAUGCUGCAAUAUAUUCCUGAAAUCUCUCCCAAGCUUUUGGGAUGGUUUCCUCUGGGAGUUGCUGAAAUCCGGAGAUCUUGCUCCGGAGGGC